AUUGAACGCUGGCGGCAGGCCUAACACAUGCAAGUCGAACGAGUGGCGGACCGGUGAGUAAUGUCUGGGAAACUGCCCGAUGGAGGGGGCUACCUCCUUGAAACGGUAGCUAAUACCGCAUACCAUCGGAUGUGCCCAGUUUGGAUUAGCUUGUAGGUGGGGUAAGGGCUGACCUAGGCUACGUUCCCUAGCUGGUCUGACGGGAUGACCAGCCACACUGGAACUGAGACACGGCCCAAACUCCUACGGGAGGCAGCAGUGGGGAAUGUUGCACAAUGGGCGCAAGCCUGAUGCAGCCAUGCCGCGUGUGUGAAGAAGGGCUGCGGGUUGUAAAGUACUUUCAGCGAGGAAGCGUUAAUCGCAGAAAAAGCACCGGCUAACUCCGUGCCAGCAGCCGCGGUAAUAC
rnacentral:rRNA from 1 species